CAGCAUAAAACUUAUAUUUGUGAGGACUCACAUAUAUAUGUAUAAUAAAUAAAAAUAAAAAUAUACAUACAUACUUACAUAUAUCUUAGCUAGUAAGGACUCUUAAAGCGAAGCGAAUCGAAGUGUUUAAUAUGUAUAAUGACACCAAACCAUUUGCUUGUAGACACAUAUACAUACAUACACAAAUGACGUGCGAAGUUGACUCCACAACAGAUUUUCACUUUUUAUUGCAAUUAAUGACUUAUUGGCGAAGAGGACGACGCAGUGGAAAAAGGAAAUAGAGUAGAAGGAAAUUCAAAAAAAAAAAAAAAAAAAAAAAAAAA